CAGCCUAUUCUAGAAGCCCAGGGAGCAGGGUACACGUUUCCCCCAUGUUCAGACUCUGAGUUGAAGGGGAAAAUGUAAAACGAGGCGUAUUUUCAGGUUUAUUUGAUGUUGAUAUUGAAUACAAGUCACCUCUGGGCCCCUUCCGGGUGUGGAGCUGCAUCCUCCUGGAGCGAUGGAGCCUGCUCUUCAAUCUCUGUCCCUCUGCCGGGCAGCUCGUGAGUCUCCUCUCUGGAAGCUUCUACUUCCUCGAGCGGCUCAGUCGGAAAGCAGAGAAACAAUUCUGGAAGAAGCAACCUCUGGGUUUACCAUGGAAUCAUCUGGACUCUGACCAAAAGAGAGGAAGCUUUAAGACAAUCCGCUGGACAGUUAACACUGCCUGAGGACACCACCUGCUGUGCGCUCACCUGGGAAGUUCUGAGGAGCCUGCCUUCAGCGAGGUCCGAACACCCUGUGUCCCUGGGGCUCUCUCCCCUGCUCGGCCGGCCGGAGCAGAAGCUUCCACUCACAGCCUCCCGCGUGGGCCCUGGGGCUGCAGGAGGCCGUCACAGGUGCCCUUAAAUUGACUGGGAAUUUGAGAGAUUUCUAGCAAGUGCACUCGGAGAGGGCAGUGAAGACUCACAGGGCUCCCGCCCGGGAGAGUGCAGCCUCAGGCCGACUUCUCCAGGCUACCUUUGGUGCCGGGCCGCCCUGUCCUGCCCCUUGAUCAGUGCCAACCCCCUGGCGCAUAUUCUGACUCUGCGUGUGCUGCUGGCGUGAGCACGUCGGGGUGUGUGUGUGGGGGGGGAGAGGGGGCGCAGGCACGGGAUGGCCCCGUCUGAGGACAGAGCCGCUCUAGCAGCUGCACCAGUGCUGAAGGGCCGUCACGCCGGUACUCUCGGCGGUGGGGCGCGGCCUGGGUGCGUCUCCAGAACGGCCCCUCACCAGACAGGCCGGACGUCCCCAAGGUGGUCGCCGAGCCCCCGCUCCAGGAGCGACUUGGGCACUGUUGUCGGUGGGGGUGGGGUGGGUGGAGAGGAGUCACAGGGACGUUUGACAGAUAAGGAAAUGGAGGGGCCUGGGUCGCAGCCCACCCGCGGGGAGGCCUGAGGAGGCCGAGGCUGUCCCCAGGACUCCAGGGAGCGGCUGAUCCUGGGCAACUUUUCUGUAACCGCACCGGUGAGGACAGGGAGCCCAGGGGAAGAUGAGGGUGGAUCAGCUGGGACCCCAGCUCCUCCUCAGCCAUUCUCCCCUGCGCUCAAGGCUUUAACGGCCCUUCAAGAAUCAUUUUAAACAUCACGGUUAGGGCUCAGAUAAUUCCAUUUCUAUAAACUGUUCUGACUCACAUUUGCCUACUCGCCAAACGAGCAGUGGUCAUUAAAAAGUCAUCUCUA